rnacentral:rRNA from 1 species
UCAAUGAGAUUGUGCUAAGGUAGCGCGGUGAGUAGCUCCUUAAUUGGGAGAUAGGAUGAAUGGUUGGACGUGGAGAGGCUGUUUCCAGCGUAGUAAACUAGAAAUUUUUUUUUAAGUGAAAAAGCUUAAAUUUUUGUAAAAGACGAUAAGACCCUGUCGAACUUAAUUAGGUUUAAAAUAUUAAAUAGUGGUAGUUGUUUUAGUUAGUUAUUCUUUGUUUUAGGGUGUAAAAUUAUUUUUAUGUAGUUAAAUUUUUAUUUAUUAAGUUUGUUUACACUUUAAGGUUAGUUUACUUAAAUCAAGUUAUUUAAAUAAUAUAUUAUUUCUGAAUCUUUGUUGGGGCAACAGAUGUUUAUUAAACAACAUUUUUUUAUUAUAAAGACCCUAUAUGAUAGACUAGAGCAAAAGUUACCGCAGGGAUAACAGCGUAAUUUUUUUUGUAAAUUAUUAAA